rnacentral:lncRNA from 1 species
UCCCCCUAAGGCAAAAGACCAGAAAAUAUCAGAAAAUCAAGGACAGUGAUAAUAUCGGAGUCACCUACGCAAAGUGGUUUGAUAGAACCAAGAAUGAUAAUCACGCCUCUAGAAGAAAUUGGUUGGACCAAGUUUCCCAGAUCGGUGAGACCGGGUUGCGAAGUAAAUCAACUCCUGAACUGAAAAAUAGACAGAAACAAAAUCUAAGGAUACCAGUUUGAGAAAGAAAAUAAUAAAAAUAAUAUUUUUUAGAAAUAUACAUAAAUAUAGAUGAUAGUUGAAUGGUUCCAAGAAGAUAUGAAAUGACAAAUUUGAACCAUACAAGAAUCUCCAUUUAGAUGUGGGGCGGUUACUAGGUCACCUAUAUUAGAGUACUUAACUUGAGGGGUCAAGCAAGGAUGCUUGAUCAUAGGUCAUACUCAUCGUUAAGCGUAAAAUGGGGUUACCAUUUUUUGAUUAAGCAUUUCAAUGUCUUCAUAUCACUUGAGUUUCUUUACCUCAUGAAUUGGUGUAAAGCUUUAUCAAUGAUAUGAGUACAGACCUUCGAAUGAUGUUCAUGACUUGGCAUGUAGGCGAACUUAUUGUGGAUGCUCAAUAUUGAUGAAGAUCAUCUUGAGUUGAAAGCAAUCAUUGUCAUUUUGGUUCACUUUUCACCUACAUUCGUUAGUCAUGCAAGGAACAAGAUAUUAUAUCUGAAUGACAAGAGUGAAUGAAUUCAUCAAAUGAUAGUCAAGUAUAUGAUUUUGUUGUCUUCUUCCUUCAUCUCCGAAGAAGGGGUUGUUGAUACUUGGACAUGACAAGAUUCCUUUUGAUGUGAGUUGAUGACAAUCUUGUGGAAUGUAGUUGUAACGUCCAAGAUGCAGUCCUAUCCUUCUUUUGGCACAAGGGCCUCGACACGGAUAGAAACGCAUCUCGUCGUUUCGCAAGAAUCGAUAUCGUUACAAGUACAUGUACUGAAAAGGUGAGUAUAAGGAAUUGGCUUACACUCACCAGAAGCUACAUCAAUAUCACAUCAAUACAAAAAUAUACAGUCAUCAUGAAGAAGAGCAAGGUUUGACUACGAACGAAAUCAAACGAUAAAAGAACGACCUCCAUCCUUGCUAUCCCAGGUUGCCGGCCUGUAACACAUCCUAGAUCGAUGAUGAAGAAGAAGAAACUCCAAAUAGCACAAUCAACGCGCUCACGUCAAAUUAACUCUUUACAUGUACCUGCAACUGGUGUUGUAGUAAUCUGUGAGCCACAGGGACUCGGCAAUCUCAUUUCCAAAAGUAUCAAGACUAGCAAAGCUUGAUGGGUGAGGUAUGGUUAAGUGGUGAGGCUGCAGCAAGCGCCUAUGCAUUUAUUUGAGGUGGCUAACUUACGAGUACAAGAAUAGGAGGGGGACGAUUUACGCAUAACCGGACAUGAACUAAUAAUGAUCAAAUGAAUGAUCCUCAACACCUACUUACAUCACACAUAACCCCAUCGUGUCCUCGAUCAGAGAAGGAGCUCGCGAAAGAGACAGUCAUGGUUACGCACUCAGUUCACACAUUUUAAUUAAGCUUACUUUAAGUUAUCUAGAACCGGAUGUUAAACAAAGUUUCCACGUUGCCACAUAACCGUGGGUAUGGCUUUCUGAAAGAUUGAACCCUACAGGGGUACUCCAACUACUCCAUCACAAACUACCACAUGCUGCGACGGAAUGACCUCGAUGAGGGAAAACAUGUGAUCUUCUUGGGUUCCUAUUGAAAAGCCUCAACAUCAAGAUGGCCCAAAGUAUCCUCGCAAUCCCUCACACAAAACGCUCGAGAAAGGUAAAGCAAGUCCAGCAAGGCCACCCAAAGUGCCGACAAUCCCGAUAGGAGCCGCGUAUCUCGUUCUUAGGGAACAAUCGGAUGAGGGCAGCAUACAGUGGCCUGAUAAAAAUCACCCUAGUUGCCCCGGGUUUGCCCCGCACACGACUCUGUUUAGGAGCAGCACAAUCAGCACUAACUCCCUAUGUAUUAUGUUGAAUUACUCCUCGGGUAGCGCUAACUCCCUAUGUUUUCGGUAUUAACAAAGCUGUUAUGUUGAGAAAAUAUAGUACCAAUGUUGGUCCUUACCAGACGAGCUUUAUCACAAAACGAGAAUUUAGGGGGUCCCCAUAACAACCCCAAGCAUGUUAGCAACGCUCAUUUAUGGAACAUAACAUUGGUAGCCGAAACUAAGGCGACAAAGGUGGAACAAAACACUAGACUAAAAAGGCCAAGCCUUCCACCUUUUACCAAGUAUAUAGGUGCAUUAAUUUAAAUAGCACUAAUAAGGUGAUAUAAAAAGGAACCCAUGUUAUCACAUGGAAGCAACUACACCUGCAACUAGCAACUCUAUCAAAUGGUUAAGCAAGUGGUAACAUAACCAAUCGGUGGUUUGCUAGGUUGUAGAACAACUGAAGGUUUUCAUGGUAAUAUUGGGAGGCUUAUUAAACAGGUGGUAGGCAGCAAUACAUAGUGAUAGAAACGAUAUAACUUGCAUGGAAAUGAUAGUAGUGGUAUCUAGGAAAAUGAUCAUCUUACAUGUAAUCCCGCUUGAAAGAACGACUCCGUGAAGCAGACGAACCUACGUAGUCGAACGGAUCCUCACAUUUUGACACAUUUGUGGAACUCUAUCGAGACGACCAAACCAGAAACAAGAAUCAACACACGAUAUUAACCAUGGCACAUGAACGACAUGAUGCACAACACAUAUGAUGCAUGCUCGAUUAAAUCAUUCAAGGCACGGCAUGGCAAUUCACAAUCAAACACUACACAUUAAGUGAAGCUCAAUAUGCAACGAGUUGCAUACUGAAGAAACUCCACAAUUGAAUUAUUUAUUUCACUCCAUUGAAGUACAAAGAAAUAUUAAAUGUUGUUGAACAUGGCAAGGGGUGAAUCACAAAUAAUCUACCUAUCUAGGCAUUUUAAAUGAGGCCGGAAACGACAUAUAGCAUCUCCGAACCGACUCCACACGUUAACUUUGUAAUCUGUCCAAAUCUAUCCUAACUGCAUUUUAUGUUUGUUAAACGGCAAAACAAAGUGGAUCACGUGAUUUUACUCGUCGUUCUAGUCCAUUUACAUAAAUGGCUCAUCUCCAACGGAGCUACGCUUAAUUAACUACGGACUAAACCAUUUUUAUCACAUCGACACACAAACCAAUGCAAACAGCAUGCUAAACAGUAAAUAUGCAUGAAAGUUGGAAAAUAAUAUUCUAUGCGAAAAUCUACAUGUUCUACAUACAUAAUUUGUCGCGAUCCGACACACAGCUUAAAAACUACGGGCGUUCUAAAAUAGGCAUCUAAUGAAAAUUGCAAUUACUAGACGAAAGAAAAACUACGAGCAACAGACACAGGCUGGGCUAGCCACUGCCAAUGACAGUGGGGCCGCACAGGUGGUCAACUGGUCAACUCAAUAUCAGUCAAUCAUGGCGUUGGGCCCCGGAUAUCGUUGUCUCAUAGAAAAAAGGAAAAAAAUGGCCCAGGGUGAAACAAGAUGGCACUAGCCACUCGAUCUACUCCAUGUACCACGGCAGGAAUAAAAUGAAAAACCAAAUAACCUAACAUGUCGGACGGAUCUAGGGAGAACACAACCUUUCUGCCAUGGUUGUGAGCUUCUCACCAGCGAGGAACGGGAAGGCAGCGGCGAUGAUGUCCGGUGGCGCGGUCCGGAAGCGGUGGAUCCGAUGACACGGGCUCCAUUUCCAGCGUCAGGGGAUCAAUUCGCGGUGGACCGCUGGUGCACAAGCUGCGAGCACCCCAUCCAUGGUGGGGUUGAUGUUCCUGUUGGUCAAGAGAGAGAGAGAGAGNNNNN